rnacentral:rRNA from 1 species
GUAGUCCACGCUGUAAACGAUGGGUACUAGGUGUUGUGGGAAUUGACCCCUACAGUGCCGAAGCUAACGCAUUAAGUACCCCGCCUGGGAAGUACGGCCGCAAGGUUAAAACUCAAAGGAAUUGACGGGGGCCCGCACAAGCGGUGGAGCAUGUGGUUUAAUUCGAUGCAACGCGAAGAACCUUACCUGGGUUAGACAACACAGGACAGCCGUAGAGAUACGGUUUCCCCUUCGGGGGCCUGUGGUUUAGGUGCUGCAUGGCUGUCGUCAGCUCGUAUCGUGAGAUGUCGGGUUAAGUCCCUUAACGAGCGCAACCCUUAUCCCUAGUUGCCACCAUUAAGUUGGGCACUCUAUGGAGACUGCCGGUGUUAAACCGGA